ensembl:rRNA 5S_rRNA 5S ribosomal RNA
ACCUACAGUCAAACUCAACUGGUUUAGCCUGUUCUUGUCUGAUCACAGAAGCAAAGCGUUGUCAGCCCUAGUGAGUACUUGGAUGUGAGACCAACUUGGAAUUCUAGGUGCUGUAGGCU